rnacentral:rRNA from 1 species
CAGUCGCCGCGGUAAUACGAAGGGGGCUAGCGUUGUUCGGAAUUACUGGGCGUAAAGCGCACGUAGGCGGAUAUUUAAGUCAGGGGUGAAAUCCCAGAGCUCAACUCUGGAACUGCCUUUGAUACUGGGUAUCUUGAGUAUGGAAGAGGUGAGUGGAACUCCGAGUGUAGAGGUGAAAUUCGUAGAUAUUCGGAGGAACACCAGUGGCGAAGGCGGCUCACUGGUCCAUUACUGACGCUGAGGUGCGAAAGCGUGGGGAGCAAACAGGAUUAGAUACCCCCGUAGUCCCUGUCUCUUAUAC